CUCAGAUCUGUAAUCAAUGAAUUCAGCUUCAGUUUUUCUCUGAAUAAUGCUUAGUUUUUCUUUAGCUUUCUCUCUGAUUCUUUCUCUUUUGACUCAUGGUUGAGGACGAAGAUUUUCUUAUUUCAAGUAUCAACUUUUCACUUCUUUUUUUAGCAUCUAUGGAUUUUCUUUCUUUCCUUACUUUUUUUUUCUUCAAAAGUUUUGGGUGAUAUGCAUGUGAUUGCCUUGCCAUUGCUAUUAUUGUGAAUUAUUGUUAUUAUUAUUGCUUGCUUGCUUGCUGUGAAACAAGAUUUUUAUGCAUAUCACAUUGUCCUUGAUGUUUUUUUUUUAUAACAAUUAGUUUGUCUUUGUUGGAACAGAUAAAUCGAAAUUGAUAAAACACAGAAAAUUAAAGAAACCUUCUAUAAUAUGUAUUGAUAGAAUAACAGAGCACUGCUCUUUACAAUGGAGAAAAUUAAACAACGGCAAGAGACACUUUGUAUUUGACACCGAAAAGAGAAGAAAAAAGCUCCCAAGAGGUCCCCAAUGGAUCCCCUACAUUCCCCAACUAAUUCAUUAUCCAAUCCUCCCCCAUUUGGAUGCUGCCUUCCCCUAUAAAUCCCCCCACACCAGCAUCACCUUUCGCUCCCCACGCCUUCUGACUAACUUCCCCUUUUUCUUCCAUGCGCUCAUUGUAAUCUCCUCUAUCUUUAUGCUCCUUUUCCACGUCAUCCUUCUCCACCUCAGCUCUUGGGUCAGCCCCUGAACCUUCUUGAAAUUGCACUAGACUUUCUAAUUCUGGGCCAGUCCUUUGCUGCCAUGUUGGGCCUUCCCCCCUUCUAUUGUAAACAUGUUUGAUAGCCUCAACAUUACCCCCAUCCUUUCACCUUGUCCCCAAAUCUAUAAAAGUCUCCAAAUCUUCCCAUGAACUUUCGUUAAUAGGAAGGUCGAACCAGCUGACUAAAAUUUUGACUUUACCGUUAAGUAAACGACGGGCAUCUAAGAUAUCUGCAGGCUGCACUCGAAGCUCGUAGUCCUCUGCCAAACAACUAGUAAAAUUUGAAACUAGUGCUGCUGAGCUGAUAGCCUUUUUUAGCUAUGAGAGACAUGGAAAACAGAAUGAACUUUGGCAUAAUCAGGUUCAUUUGUAUGAAAAUCUCUUAAAUGGGUGUGAGGUGGUUGAAUCACAGUAAGACUAUCACUUUCUAAGUUGCAGAAUUAAAAUAAUCUUGAAGGAAUUCCCCUCCAAUCAGAAAGCCACAAAGCUUCGAUGCAGCUCGUCCGUCCAAACAAACCGAGGCUUCUUUUGGGUUGAUGGGUCCUCUUGGUUAAGAACUUUCUCAGGCUCUUCAUAAUCUUCAUCCUGAUAUUCUUCCUCCUGCGUCUUAAUCUUCUUUCUCAUUACAUGCUGUGAGAUGUUUUGGAGCUCUUCCAUUCUAACAGGUUUUACCAAAUAAUAUAAAGCUCCCAAUUUAAUUGCUUUCAUCACCAGCAUUCUGUCACUCUUUCCAGACAACACUGAAGGUGUCAAUACCAUGUAACCACGACUAUAAAGGCAAUGACGGCUAUAAGGUUGUUGAGAGAAAACAAGUUUGACAUGAUCUCCACAUGCCUGAAAUGGAUGGACUUAGCUCGGUCGACUUUGGAUGGACAUACCUAUUAUAUGUUUGUGAUAGUUUUAUAUUGUUAUCUGGAGAUAGCAUGGAAAGUUGGUGAUGAAAGGAAUGAGUCUGGGAGCUUGUGAUUAUUUGGUAAAACUCUUAGAAUUGAAGAGCUCCAAAAUAUAUGGUAGCAUGUAAUGAGGAAGAAGAUCAUGAUGAAGAUUAUGAAGAGCCUAAGAAAGGUCAUAACAAAGAGGACCCAUCAAAUCAAAAGAAGCCUCGAGCUGUGUGGAUGGUCGAGCUACAUCGGUGGUGUUUUGUGGCUGCUGUUGAUAAAUUAGGUGUUGACAAUAAGUUAUUCCCUCUUUCUCUACCAUGCAAAGCAAUUGUUAUCUUAAUUGUUAUUAAUUGCUACAAUUGGUCAAUCAAUGGAUGUUUCAGCUUUAUUUUAGCAAUACUUUUAUUAAAUAUUUGAGUAGAAACAUAGUAGUUAAUUGCGUCGUAAUAGCGCUGCGAGUCGGGCUGGUACCUUGUUGCAAGAAAUGUCAAUUUUGUCUUAAAUUUAAAUAUGUAACAAGAAAAUUUUAAGAUUUUUUUAGUUUA